rnacentral:misc_RNA from 1 species
UCCGGCUUAUCACCGGCGGUUUCUUUUGAGUGCCCAACUAAAUGAUGGCAACUAAAGACGAGGGUUGCGCUCGUUGCGGGACUUAACCCAACAUCUCACGACACGAGCUGACGACAGCCAUGCAGCACCUGUGCAUGGACUCCGAAGAGGGCCUGCCGUCUCUGGCAGGUUUCCCAUGCAUGUCAAGCCUAGGUAAGGUUCUUCGCGUUGCGUCGAAUUAAACCACAUGCUCCACCGCUUGUGCGGGCCCCCGUCAAUUCCCUUGAGUUUCAGCCUUGCGGCCGUACUCCCCAGGCGGGGCACUUACUGCGUUAGCGACGGCACUCAGAGGGUCGCUCCCCCAAGCACCUAGUGCCCAUCGUUUACGGCGUGGACUAC